rnacentral:rRNA from 1 species
AGCAGUAGCCGCGGUAAUACGUAGGGUGCAAGCGUUAAUCGGAAUUACUGGGCGUAAAGCGUGCGCAGGCGGUGUUGUAAGACUGAUGUGAAAUCCCCGGGCUCAACCUGGGAACUGCAUUGGUGACUGCAACGCUGGAGUGCGGCAGAGGGGGAUGGAAUUCCGCGUGUAGCAGUGAAAUGCGUAGAUAUGCGGAGGAACACCGAUGGCGAAGGCAAUCCCCUGGGCCUGCACUGACGCUCAUGCACGAAAGCGUGGGGAGCAAACAGGAUUAGAUACCCGCGUAGUCCCUGUCUCUUAUAC